rnacentral:rRNA from 1 species
CCUACGGGAGGCUGCAGUAGGGAAUCUUCCACAAUGGGCGAAAGCCUGAUGGAGCAACGCCGCGUGGGUGAAGAAGGUCUUCGGAUCGUAAAACCCUGUUGUUAGAGAAGAAAGUGCGUGAGAGUAACUGUUCACGUUUCGACGGUAUCUAACCAGAAAGCCACGGCUAACUACGUGCCAGCAGCCGCGGUAAUACGUAGGUGGCAAGCGUUAUCCGGAUUUAUUGGGCGUAAAGGGAACGCAGGCGGUCUUUUAAGUCUGAUGUGAAAGCCUUCGGCUUAACCGGAGUAGUGCAUUGGAAACUGGGAGACUGGAGUGCAGAAGAGGAGAGUGGAACUCCAUGUGUAGCGGUGAAAUGCGUAGAUAUAUGGAAGAACACCAGUGGCGAAAGCGGCUCUCUGGUCUGUAACUGACGCUGAGGCUCGAAAGCGUGGGUAGCAAACAGGAUUAGAUACCCUAGUAGUC